AGAAUCAACGCUGGCGGCGUGCCUAACACAUGCAAGUCGCACGAGAAAGGGACUUCGGUCCUGAGUACAGUGGCGCACGGGUGAGUAACACGUGAAUCAUCUACCUCCGAGUGGGGAAUAACCUAGAGAAAUCUGGGCUAAUACCGCAUAACACUUACGAGUCAAAGCAGCAAUGCGCUUGGAGAGGAGUUCGCGGCAGAUUAGUUAGUUGGCGGGGUAAUGGCCCACCAAGACGAUGAUCUGUAUCCGGCCUGAGAGGGCGCACGGACACACUGGAACUGAAACACGGUCCAGACUCCUACGGGAGGCAGCAGUGGGGAAUUUUGCGCAAUGGGGGAAACCCUGACGCAGCAACGCCGCGUGGAGGAUGAAAUAUCUUGGUAUGUAAACUCCGUUUCGAGUGGGGAAGAUAAUGACGGUACCCAUAGAAGAAGCCCCGGCUAACUUCGUGCCAGCAGCCGC
rnacentral:rRNA from 1 species